AGUGGAAAACGAUGUGAAGUUACUUAAACAACCAGGAGGUUGGCUUAGAAGCAGCCAUCCUUUAAAGAAAGCGUAAUAGCUCACUGGUCUAGUGAUUUUGCGCGGAAAAUAUAACGGGGCUAAAGUAAGUACCGAAGCUGUAGACUUGCACACAACUUAGAUUAUUUAAGUUUAGAAUAAGUAGUUUAAGUUGUGUGCAAGUGGUAGGAGAGCGUUCUAUUUGCGUCGAAGGUAUACCGGUAAGGAGUGCUGGAGCGAAUAGAAGUGAGCAUGCAGGCAUGAGUAGCGAUAAUUAAUGUGAGAAUCAUUAACGCCGUAAACCCAAGGUUUCCUACGCGAUGCUCGUCAUCGUAGGGUUAGUCGGGUCCUAAGUCGAGUCCGAAAGGGGUAGACGAUGGCAAAUUGGUUAAUAUUCCAAUACCAACAUUAGUGUGCGAUGGAAGGACGCUUAGGGCUAAGGGGGCUAGCGGAUGGAAGUGCUAGUCUAAGGUCGUAGGAGGUUAUACAGGCAAAUCCGUAUAACAAUACUCCGAGAACUGAAAGGCUUUUUGAAGUCUUCGGAUGGAUAGAAGAACCCCUGAUGCCGUCGAGCCAAGAAAAGUUUCUAAGUUUAGCUAAUGUUGCCCGUACCGUAAACCGACACAGGUGGGUGGGAUGAGUAUUCUAAGGCGCGUGGAAGAACUCUCUUUAAGGAACUCUGCAAAAUAGCACCGUAUCUUCGGUAUAAGGUGUGGUUAGCUUCGUACUAGGAUUUACUCCGAAAGCGAAGAAACUUACAACAAAGAGUCCCUCCCGACUGUUUACCAAAAACACAGCACUCUGCUAACUCGUAAGAGGAUGUAUAGGGUGUGACGCCUGCCCGGUGCUCGAAGGUUAAUUGAUGGGGUUAGCAUUAGCGAAGCUCUUGAUCGAAGCCCGAGUAAACGGCGGCCGUAACUAUAACGGUCCUAAGGUAGCGAAAUUCCUUGUCGGUUAAAUACCGACCUGCAUGAAUGGCGUAACGAGAUGGGAGCUGUCUCAAAGAGGGAUCCAGUGAAAUUGUAGUGGAGGUGAAAAUUCCUCCUACCCGCGGCAAGACGGAAAGACCCCGUGGACCUUUACUACAGCUUGACACUGCUACUUGGAUAAGAAUGUGCAGGAUAGGUGGGAGGCUUUGAGUAUAUGACGCCAGUUGUAUAUGAGCCAUUGUUGAGAUACCACUCUUUCUUAUUUGGGUAGCUAACCAGCUUGAGUUAUCCUCAAGUGGGACAAUGUCUGGUGGGUAGUUUGACUGGGGCGGUCGCCUCCCAAAUAAUAACGGAGGCUUACAAAGGUUGGCUCAGAACGGUUGGAAAUCGUUCGUAGAGUAUAAAGGUAUAAGCCAGCUUAACUGCAAGACAUACAAGUCAAGCAGAGACGAAAGUCGGUCUUAGUGAUCCGGUGGUUCUGUGUGGAAGGGCCAUCGCUCAAAGGAUAAAAGGUACCCCGGGGAUAACAGGCUGAUCUCCCCCAAGAGCUCACAUCGACGGGGAGGUUUGGCACCUCGAUGUCGGCUCAUCGCAUCCUGGGGCUGGAGCAGGUCCCAAGGGUAUGGCUGUUCGCCAUUUAAAGCGGUACGCGAGCUGGGUUCAGAACGUCGUGAGACAGUUCGGUCCCUAUCUGCCGUGGGCGUAAGAAGAUUGAAGAGAUUUGACCCUAGUACGAGAGGACCGGGUUGAACAAACCACUGGUGUAGCUGUUGUUCUGCCAAGAGCAUCGCAGCGUAGCUAAGUUUGGAAAGGAUAAACGCUGAAAGCAUCUAAGCGUGAAGCCAACUCUAAGAUGAAUCUUCUCUAAGCUCUCUAGAAGACUACUAGUUUGAUAGGCUGGGUGUGUAAUGGAUGAAAGUCCUUUAGCUGACCAGUACUAAUAGAGCGUUUGGCUUAUCUUUAAUAAAGCAU
rnacentral:rRNA from 1 species